rnacentral:rRNA from 1 species
GACGAACGCUGGCGGCGUGCCUAAUACAUGCAAGUCGAACGCUGAAGAGAGGAGCUUGCUCUUCUUGGAUGAGUUGCGCACGGGUGAGUAACGCGUAGGUAACCUGCCUUGUAGCGGGGGAUAACUAUUGGAAACGAUAGCUAAUACCGCAUAACAAUGGAUGACACAUGUCAUUUAUUUGAAAGGGGCAAUUGCUCCACUACAAGAUGGACCUGCGUUGUAUUAGCUAGUAGGUGAGGUAACGGCUCACCUAGGCGACGAUACAUAGCCGACCUGAGAGGGUGAUCGGCCACACUGGGACUGAGACACGGCCCAGACUCCUACGGGAGGCAGCAGUAGGGAAUCUUCGGCAAUGGGGGCAACCCUGACCGAGCAACGCCGCGUGAGUGAAGAAGGUUUUCGGAUCGUAAAGCUCUGUUGUAAGUCAAGAACGAGUGUGAGAGUGGAAAGUUCACACUGUGACGGUAGCUUACCAGAAAGGGACGGCUAACUACGUG